rnacentral:rRNA from 1 species
CAUCAAAGGCUAAAUAGUGGUGGGAGACCGAUAGCGAACAAGUACCGUGAGGGAAAGAUGGAAAGAACUUUGAAAAGAGAGUGAAAAGCACUUGAAACCGUCACGGGGGAAGCGGAUUGCGUGAGUGAUGGUGUCGCUUGUUCAGCGCUUUAUUGCGUGCAUUCUGGCGGCGCCGUGCCGGCGUGGCUGGCUGGACUGUGAUUUUGACAGUCUCGGCUGGUGAGGGCUCCCUCGUAUGAGGUGAGGACGCGGGCAAAAUGACGCAAUACGACCCGUCUUGAAACACGGACCAAGGAGUCUAGCACGGCUGCGAGUCGAAGAGUGAUUAAACUCAAGGGCGCAGUGAAAGCGAAAUUAUAAGCAAAUUGGGGAGGCGUUGCGUUUUUAACAAAAUGUCCUACCUCGAGCAUUUGUGCUGGGACCCGAAAGAUGGUGAACUAUGCCGGAGUAGGGCAAAGCCAGAGGAAACUCUGGUGGAGGCUCGUAGCGAUGCUGACGUGCAAAUCGCUCGUCGAACUUGGGUAUAGGGGCGAAAGACUAAUCGAACCAUCUAGUAGCUGGUUCCCUCCGAAGUUUCUCUCAGGAUAGCGGGCCGACACGCGUUUGUUGUUUUGUGCGGUAAAGCGAAUGAUUAGUGCAUUUGGGGUACGAAGUACUUCGGGCGAUUCUCAAACUUUAAAUGCGCAAGGGGGUGGCUGCUUAAUUGAGCCUACUCUUUGAAAAACGUCGGCCCUGUGGGCCACUUUUGGUAAGC